UACGAAGGGGGCGAGCGUUGUUCGGAAUUACUGGGCGUAAAGGGCGCGUAGGCGGCGACUCAAGUUAGAUGUGAAAGUCCUGGGCUUAACCUGGGGGACUGCAUUUGAUACUGGGUUGCUUGAAUUCGGGAGAGGAUAGCGGAAUUCCCCAGUGUAGAGGUGAAAUUCGUAGAUAUUGGGAAGAACACCAGUGGCGAAGGCGCUCACUGGCCCGUUACCGACGCUCAGGCGCGACAGCGUGGGGAGCAAACAGG
rnacentral:rRNA from 1 species